rnacentral:misc_RNA from 1 species
AACGCACAUUGCGCCCGCCAGUAUUCUGGCGGGCAUGCCUGUCUGAGCGUCAUUUCAACCCUCAGGUCCUAUCCGUAGGACCUGGCGUUGGGGAUCAGCCCUCCGGGGCUGGCCCUUAAAACCAGUGGCGGUUCCGCAGCGACUCCUCCGUGCAGUAGUGAUACCUCGCGGCUGGACCCUCUCGGAAACCGAGCCGUAAAACCCCCCACUUCUCAAGGUUGACCUCAGAUCAGGUAGGAAUACCCGCUGAACUUAA